UAAUCAUAGCCAAGACUUGAGGAGGGGAGAUGGGGCAUUCCUGUUGAUGAAGCAGCAACCUUAAUUGGUAUAUUUACCUGGACCAAUCUCAAACAAAAAUAAUGGUAAUAUUUUAUAUCAAACAGUCCACAACAAAACACAAGUUUUUCAGGUAGAUCACCCCAAUAAACCAACAGACAACUAAACAGGCUAUUCAUAAGUUACAGAUCAUUUAACAAAGCAGAAUGAGCAAAUCACUUUAUUGCAAAAGAAGUGAAAACAUAGAUGGAUUUUGCCUGCAUUCCCCAAGUUGACUGGUCCAUGUUAUCUCCAAUCAAUAGCUUAACAAUCCAACACUAUACGCGCACUGCCUUAUCCAAUAAUUAGCAUCAAUUUUUGUUACGAGUUUUAGGCCUCCCUGUUUUCCUCUCUGUCUUCCUCUACUCUCCUUUAGGUCACCGCCAUUGCACUCAUCAUCCUCUGCAUCGUCCACACAUGUCCUCAUCAGGCCAAACAUAUCCAUCUCCUUCACAUCGCCUUGCAGUGCCUUGAGUGCCGGCGGCAGCCGGGAGGGGCCGAGCGCUGUUGCUUGGAGGGAGGGGGCGCAAGCGCUAGGUCAGUCAGCUUGUCUACAGCUCUGCAUCAAACAGCAGGGCCAGUCCUUUUUAUCGAACAGCGGGGCACUCCUGCUCUGCGACUUCCCUGUGCAGAGCGUUGGAGCUCCGCGGCCUCCACCGACUGCGCGCGGCCACCGUGAGCGUGAGGAGCGAGGUGGGCGGGGGUGAGGCCAGGGGCCACGGACCCUGGCGGCUGCCAAGGCCAUGAGGAGCGAGGUGGGCAGGAUGGAGCCUGGGGCGCGUAGCUGGUGGAUGAGAUUGCGGGCGCAGAUUAGAGACUUUCCUUCCUUUCCUAUUUUUAUGGAGAAGAAGAGGCGCUGGUAGGAGUCUGGGAGACUGAGAGCGAGCGCACAAGCGGACCAGAGGAGAUGGUAGGAGUCUGGGAGACUGAUAGCGAGCACGCAUGCGGAGUGUCGGAUGGGGCCUGGAGCGAGCGACACCAGGUUGCCCGGUGGACGGAAUAGUUUUAGAUGUUUUAGUUGUAGAGAUGGAAGAGGUUUGGCAUAGGUGCAACUGUAUGUUUAAUUGGUGAGCAUUAUUUGUUUAUCACAUCCUGAGUUAGAUAAGCAAUAAGAAAUGUAAGCUACUUUCUUAGCAUAGCAGAUAAUA
rnacentral:lncRNA from 1 species